rnacentral:misc_RNA from 1 species
GUGAAGAACGUAGCGAAAUGCGAUAAGUAAUGUGAAUUGCAGAAUUCAGUGAAUCAUCGAAUCUUUGAACGCACCUUGCGCCCUUUGGCCAUUCCGAAGGGCAUGCCUGUUUGAGUAUCAUGAACACCUCAACUCUUCAUGGUUUUCCAUGAUGAGCUUGGACUUUGGGGGUCUUGCUGGCCUGUGGGUCGGCUCCUCUCAAAUGAAUCAGCUUGCCGGUUUUUGGUGGGCAUCACAGGUGUGAUAACUAUCUACGCUUGUGGUUUUCCACCAGGGUAACCUUCAGCAGUGGAGGUUAACUGGAGCUUACAAAUGUCUCUCCUCUGUGAGGACAGCCCUUUGAAUGUUUGAUCUCAAAUCAGGUAGGACUACCCGCUGAACUUAAGCAUAUCAAUAAGCGGAGA